ensembl:lncRNA
CUAUAAUGUUCAAUUUUUAUUUUAUUUUAUUAUUUUUUAAUUUUCUCAUGAAAAUUCUUUCAUGUGGUCUCUGGAACUGUUGUGUUUUCAUUUCUUAAUUGCUCAGUCCCUUCGAUUAUGUCUUGCCAACGUUGGUACGGAAAUAACAUUGCUUGGCAGAUACUACAGCCAGAGUGGGCUUGUGAAGGGCAAGUCCUGCUUGAUCAACCAGAUCUCCUUCUAUGAUCUAGUGACCUGUCUGGAGGAUGAGGAAAAAUUUGUUGACAUGGUCUACCUUGAGUUCAACAAAGCCUUUGACACUGUCUCCCACAAAGAGAGAAGCUGGUAGCCCGUGGCUUGGACAGCAAGAAGAAGUACGCGAGCAAAUUCAGAAAGCAACAAGUUCACUCAAUUCCAGAGAUUCUCUUCAGAGCAUACUUGAAGACAUCAGUGGGACUACAACAUUGUCAAAGAAUAUAAAAUUAUCUGUCAUGCCAGGCAUCUACAGAAAUGGUCUGCACAAAAUUUGGAGGCACGGUCAUCAUCUUCACUAUGGCUAUUCCUGUGAAAACAGAAACAUGAAUGUCAUCUUACUGAUUUACAGAGUAAUGAUGAAAGGUUUUUCUAUCACUGUAGUAGCAAUUUUUGCUGUUUGGAUUUUUGACCUAUGUUAGUUUACACAACCCUUCCUAUCAUUCAUAUAAGCUCAUUUAGUAUAGAUAUCUAUAGCUAUAGAUAGUAUAGAAUCAUAGAAUCAUUAAGGUUGGAAAAGACUUCUAAGUUCAUCUAGUCAAACCAUAAGCCCAUCACCACCAAGCCUACUAAAUCAUGUCCCUCAGUGACACAUCUACCCUUUCCUUGAAAACCUGCAUGGACGUUGAUCCCAUCACCUUCCUGGGUAGCCUGUUCCAAUGCCUUACCGUCCUUUCUGAGAAUAAAUUUUUCCUAAUUUCCAACCUUAAACUCUGCUAGUGCAACUCAUGGCCUUAACCUUUUUAUACACUGAAGAAUUUUUUUAUUCAGAUGAAACGAUUCAUUCCAUGCUACCUUUCUAAAAAGCUUUGCAUUGUCCUGAUUCUUGACUUGUAAGAGAAUCUUCACUAUAUAUAAGACGGUCAGAUCUUCAAGCCUUGCUUUGUGUAGCUUAUUCCAGUUUUUCUGCAGAUAUCUGAACUGUUUUGAUUCUGAUUCUGUCCUUAGUUAACUCAUCUUUCUCCAAGCGUGCUUCUAAUUUUGUCCACACUUUUGUGUCUGAGAACACUCUCAGUGAACUCUGUGCUAGUCCAGUCUUUUAAGUUUCAUAGUGCUUUUAUGAAAGGCUUAUGAGUAAGCAAAUUUUAUAGAUUUUCCUGCAAAAUCAGUGUGAGGUUACUCUGUGAAGCUGCGUGUAGGAACUUCAUGAAUCUCUCAAAUAAAAUGUUUUUGCGAAUUCUUUGCCACAUAUUUUCCUGGGGACUGGCUUUGUUUUGUUAAUAAUUCAUCACCUCUAUUUUAUACAUGUAUAGCUUUUCUGCAGUUCUUUUCAAAGUUUCAAAAGCUUAAUCAGUUAUUUGUACUAGUAAAACUUUUUUCUGGUUCUCAUAUGCUGUAUUAUUUACUCUAAGCAGACCAAAAGGAGGAUACAGAUCAGUAUCCUGUUUACCUGUUUGAUCUUAUUUUCUUCGUUGUUUUUUUUUUAAAUUCUAACUUACUAAAGAUUUACCUAUUUAACAAUGUUAAUAAAAUAUUAAAGUUUUUAAA